UUUUAUUAUGGUCUCAGAUUGAACGCUGGCGGCAGGCUUAACACAUCCAAGUCGAGCGGGGAAAGGUAGUUUUCUACCUGUCCUAGCGGCGGACGGGUGAGUAAUGCUUAGGAAUCUGCCUAUUAGUGGGGGACAACAUUCUGAAAGGAAUGCUAAUACCGCAUACGCCCUACGGGGGAAAGCAGGGGAUCUUCGGGCCUUGCGCUAAUAGAUGAGCCUAAGUCAGAUUAGCUAGUUGGUGGGGUAAAGGCCUACCAAGGCGACGAUCUGUAGCGGGUCUGAGAGGAUGAUCCCCCACACUGGGACUGAGACACGGCCCAGACUCCUACGGGAGGCAGCAGUGGGGAAUAUUGGACAAUGGGCGAAAGCCUGAUCCAGCCAUGCCGCGUGUGUGAAGAAGGCCUUUUGGUUGUAAAGCACUUUAACCGAGGAGGAGGCUACUGGGAUUAAUACUCUAGGAUAGUGGACGUUACUCGCAGAAUAAGCACCGGCUAACUCUGUGCCAGCAGCCGCGGUAAUACAGAGGGUGCGAGCGUUAAUCGGAUUUACUGGGCGUAAAGCGUGCGUAGGCGGUUUUUUAAGUCGGAUGUGAAAUCCCUGACCUUAACUUAGGAAUUGCAUUCGAUACUGGGAAGCUAGAGUAUGGGAGAGGAUGGUAGAAUUCCAGGUGUAGCGGUGAAAUGCGUAGAGAUCUGGAGGAAUACCGAUGGCGAAGGCAUCCAUCUGGCCUAAUACUGACGCUGAGGUACGAAAGCAUGGGGAGCAAACAGGAUUAGAUACCCCGGUAGUCCAUCCCGUAAACGAUGUAUACUAGCCGUUGGGGCCUUUGAGGUUUUAGUGGCGCAGCUAACGCGAUAAGUAGACCGCCUGGGGAGUACGGUCGCAAGACUAAAACUCAAAUGAAUUGGCGGGGGCCCGCACAAGCGGUGGAGCAUGUGGUUUAAUUAGAUGCAACGGGAAGAACCUUACCUGGUCUUGGCCUAGUAAGAACUUUCCCGAGAAGGAUUGGGGCCUUCGGGAACUUCCAUCCAGCUGGUGCAUGGCGGUCGUCAGCUCGUGUCGUGAGAAGAUGGGUUAAGUCCCCCAACGAGGGCAACCCUUUUCCUCAUUUGCCAGCGGGUUAAGCCGGGCACUUUAAGGAUACUGCCAGUGACAAACCGGAGGAAGGCGGGGACGACGUCAAGUCAUCAUGGCCCUUACGGCCAGGGCUACACACGUGCUACAAUGGUCGGUACAAAGGGUUGCCACCUAGCGAUAGGAUGCUAAUCUCAAAAAGCCGAUCGUAGUCCGGAUUGGAGUCUGCAACUCGACUCCAUGAAGUCGGAAUCGCUAGUAAUCGCGGAUCAGAAUGCCGCGGUGAAUACGUUCCCGGGCCUUGUACACACCGCCCGUCACACCAUGGGAAUUUGUUUCACCAGAAGUAGGAGUCUACCGCAGGAGACCUCCCGGCUUGGG
rnacentral:rRNA from 1 species